rnacentral:rRNA from 1 species
UACGUAGGGGGCAAGCGUUAUCCGGAUUUACUGGGUGUAAAGGGAGCGUAGGUGGCAUGGUAAGCCAGAAGUGAAACCCCGGGGCUCAACCCCGCGGAUUGCUUUUGGAACUAUCAGGCUGGAGUGCUGGAGGGGUAAGCGGAAUUCCUAGUGUAGCGGUGAAAUGCGUAGAUAUUAGGAGGAACACCGGUGGCGAAGGCGGCUUACUGGACAGAAACUGACACUGAGGCUCGAAAGCGUGGGGAGCAAACAGG